rnacentral:rRNA from 1 species
AUUGAACGCUGGCGGCAGGCCUAACACAUGCAAGUCGAGCGGAUGAAGGGAGCUUGCUCCUGGAUUCAGCGGCGGACGGGUGAGUAAUGCCUAGGAAUCUGCCUGGUAGUGGGGGAUAACGUCCGGAAACGGGCGCUAAUACCGCAUACGUCCUGUGGGAGAAAGUGGGGGAUCUUCGGACCUCACGCUAUCAGAUGAGCCUAGGUCGGAUUAGCUGGUUGGUGGGGUAAAGGCCUACCAAGGCGACGAUCCGUAACUGGUCUGAGAGGAUGAUCAGUCACACUGGAACUGAGACACGGUCCAGACUCCUACGGGAGGCAGCAGUGGGGAAUAUUGGACAAUGGGCGAAAGCCUGAUCCAGCCAUGCCGCGUGUGUGAAGAAGGUCUUCGGAUUGUAAAGCACUUUAAGUUGGGAGGAAGGGCAGUAAGUUAAUACCUUGCUGUUUUGACGUUACCAACAGAAUAAGCACCGGCUAACUUCGUG